GACGAACGCUGGCGGCGUGCCUAAUACAUGCAAGUUGAGCGCUGAAGGUUGGUACUUGUACCAACUGGAUGAGCAGCGAACGGGUGAGUAACGCGUGGGGAAUCUGCCUUUGAGCGGGGGACAACAUUUGGAAACGAAUGCUAAUACCGCAUAAAAACUUUAAACACAAGUUUUAAGUUUGAAAGAUGCAAUUGCAUCACUCAAAGAUGAUCCCGCGUUGUAUUAGCUAGUUGGUGAGGUAAAGGCCCACCAAGGCGAUGAUACAUAGCCGACCUGAGAGGGUGAUCGGCCACAUUGGGACUGAGACACGGCCCAAACUCCUACGGGAGGCAGCAGUAGGGAAUCUUCGGCAAUGGACGAAAGUCUGACCGAGCAACGCCGCGUGAGUGAAGAAGGUCUUCGGAUCGUAAAACUCUGUUGGUAGAGAAGAACGUUGGUGAGAGUGGAAAGCUCAUCAAGUGACGGUAACUACCCAGAAAGGGACGGCUAACUACGUG
rnacentral:rRNA from 1 species